GCGCUGAGGCGGGGCCUCGAGGGAGAGCGGGCUCCAGGGCAGACGCCGGGUGGCGAUGGGGGCGGGAGGUGCCCUCUGCCAAUCAGAAGGCACCACUCUCACAAGAGCCGGGGAGCUGAGGCUGCCGGAGGGUCGGCUCUGUGCUCGUCUUGCCUUGCCGGGUGGUGGGAGCCGGUCGCUGCCGUCCCCUGCCCUGGCGCCAUGCCGUUUCUUGCCAGCGUGCGCCCUGUGCCGCGGUCCAGCUUAGGGAGGCGCUGGGUGAACCCCAGCCUCUGCCGUAGCGAGGUCGUCUGCGCUGCCGCUCGCUGCGGAGCCGCUGUUCCCGCCUUUUAGCUCGGGGUGGCUGUGCCUGACACCUGCCCUCAGGCGGCGAGACUGGCUGAUCGGAGGAGGAUUUUCGGCGUUUAUACGUCCCCUACCUUGGCCAACGCUUAAAAGCGGUUUAUAUCGCCCCAGGUUGCCACACGGCUCUGUCUUCUGCCUGUGAGGUAACCCUGUGCCAGUGAGCCCGGUGGAGGCACAGGGUGGGCAAGGUCUUGCCCCCAUUGCUGUGGCAGUGGUUCCAGUGGUGCCAUUUCCUUACCCAAAACCUGGAUGGAGUUACCGUGCCUCCAUGAAUAGGAGCUGCAAUUGCAAUGCAUUUGGGGGGAAAAAUUAUUUCUGAUUAAUAGGCCAGUAAAGCAAUGCAAAGUGGAAAAACACAGGAACUUUUGUUUUAACUGAUGUGAGAAGGUUCCUAGAAACAGCUUUGUCCAGUUGUACUGCAUGAACUCAUCGAUUCUGAGUAAACAUGAGAUGGCAACAAGUGUUGAUUCCUACUAUCAGCAAUGCUAUGCCUGCCAAGGAGAGAGUAGUCAAGGUGAAACUGUAUUUCUUGUUUGUGCUGGAAAAACCAAAGACUUCAAACACCUGAAACACACAAAAGGUGACGGGCACCAUGGUGUGCUGUGACUGUUAGAAAAUGAAAAGCUUCUUAUAAUUUAUAAGUAGAAUUUACCUUCUUUUGAACUGUGGAAAAGCUCUUUCAAACAGUUAUUAACUAUGGUUUUAAAAGCAGCUGUUUGCUCCAGGAGGCAACAUAUGGAGGAGCAGCCAGCUGGUGGGAUGAGGAGGCAAGGAGUCUGGAGGACUUGGUGGUCUCCCUCUCCCUCUGCCCCUGAGCUCUGCAGUAUGUUC